rnacentral:rRNA from 1 species
UACGGAGGAUCCGAGCGUUAUCCGGAUUUAUUGGGUUUAAAGGGUGCGCAGGCGGGAGAUUAAGUCGGCGGUGAAAUUUUGCAGCUCAACUGUAAAAGUGCCUUCGAAACUGGUUUCCUUGAGUGUAGGUGAAGUAGGCGGAAUUUGUGGUGUAGCGGUGAAAUGCAUAGAUAUCACGAGGAACUCCGAUUGCGCAGGCAGCUUACUAAACUACUACUGACGCUCAGGCACGAAGGCGUGGGGAUCAAACAGGAUUAGAUACCCGCGUAGU